rnacentral:pre_miRNA from 14 species
AACCUAUUUGAACCGAAACCAUUUGCCAUCCGCAGUUUUUUGUAGUGUGCUCCGCGCCAUCUUAGUGCCCGAAGCACCACGAGAAGCUGCAGAUGGAAGUUUUGGUUGAUGUGCACAUGACUU